rnacentral:rRNA from 1 species
GGUUAAGCGACUAAGCGUACACGGUGGAUGCCCUGGCAGUCAGAGGCGAUGAAGGACGUGCUAAUCUGCGAUAAGCGUCGGUAAGGUGAUAUGAACCGUUAUAACCGGCGAUUUCCGAAUGGGGAAACCCAGUGUGAUUCGUCACACUAUCAUUAACUGAAUCCAUAGGUUAAUGAGGCGAACCGGGGGAACUGAAACAUCUAAGUACCCCGAGGAAAAGAAAUCAACCGAGAUUCCCCCAGUAGCGGCGAGCGAACGGGGAGCAGCCCAGAGCCUGAAUCAGUGUGUGUGUUAGUGGAAGCGUCUGGAAAGGCGCGCGAUACAGGGUGACAGCCCCGUACACAAAAAUGCACAUACUGUGAGCUCGAUGAGUAGGGCGGGACACGUGGUAUCCUGUCUGAAUAUGGGGGGACCAUCCUCCAAGGCUAAAUACUCCUGACUGACCGAUAGUGAACCAGUACCGUGAGGGAAAGGCGAAAAGAACCCCGGCGAGGGGAGUGAAAAAGAACCUGAAACCGUGUACGUACAAGCAGUGGGAGCACAGAGCAAUCUGUGUGACUGCGUACCUUUUGUAUAAUGGGUCAGCGACUUAUAUUCUGUAGCAAGGUUAACCGAAUAGGGGAGCCGAAGGGAAACCGAGUCUUAACUGGGCGUUAAGUUGCAGGGUAUAGACCCGAAACCCGGUGAUCUAGCCAUGGGCAGGUUGAAGGUUGGGUAACACUAACUGGAGGACCGAACCGACUAAUGUUGAAAAAUUAGCGGAUGACUUGUGGCUGGGGGUGAAAGGCCAAUCAAACCGGGAGAUAGCUGGUUCUCCCCGAAAGCUAUUUAGGUAGCGCCUCGUGAAUUCAUCUCCGGGGGUAGAGCACUGUUUCGGCAAGGGGGUCAUCCCGACUUACCAACCCGAUGCAAACUGCGAAUACCGGAGAAUGUUAUCACGGGAGACACACGGCGGGUGCUAACGUCCGUCGUGAAGAGGGAAACAACCCAGACCGCCAGCUAAGGUCCCAAAGUCAUGGUUAAGUGGGAAACGAUGUGGGAAGGCCCAGACAGCCAGGAUGUUGGCUUAGAAGCAGCCAUCAUUUAAAGAAAGCGUAAUAGCUCACUGGUCGAGUCGGCCUGCGCGGAAGAUGUAACGGGGCUAAACCAUGCACCGAAGCUGCGGCAGCGACGCUGAUGCGUUGUUGGGUAGGGGAGCGUUCUGUAAGCCUGUGAAGGUGUACUGUGAGGUAUGCUGGAGGUAUCAGAAGUGCGAAUGCUGACAUAAGUAACGAUAAAGCGGGUGAAAAGCCCGCUCGCCGGAAGACCAAGGGUUCCUGUCCAACGUUAAUCGGGGCAGGGUGAGUCGACCCCUAAGGCGAGGCCGAAAGGCGUAGUCGAUGGGAAACAGGUUAAUAUUCCUGUACUUGGUGUUACUGCGAAGGGGGGACGGAGAAGGCUAUGUUGGCCGGGCGACGGUUGUCCCGGUUUAAGCGUGUAGGCUGGUUUUCCAGGCAAAUCCGGAAAAUCAAGGCUGAGGCGUGAUGACGAGGCACUACGGUGCUGAAGCAACAAAUGCCCUGCUUCCAGGAAAAGCCUCUAAGCAUCAGGUAACAUCAAAUCGUACCCCAAACCGACACAGGUGGUCAGGUAGAGAAUACCAAGGCGCUUGAGAGAACUCGGGUGAAGGAACUAGGCAAAAUGGUGCCGUAACUUCGGGAGAAGGCACGCUGAUAUGUAGGUGAAGUCCCUCGCGGAUGGAGCUGAAAUCAGUCGAAGAUACCAGCUGGCUGCAACUGUUUAUUAAAAACACAGCACUGUGCAAACACGAAAGUGGACGUAUACGGUGUGACGCCUGCCCGGUGCCGGAAGGUUAAUUGAUGGGGUUAGCGCAAGCGAAGCUCUUGAUCGAAGCCCCGGUAAACGGCGGCCGUAACUAUAACGGUCCUAAGGUAGCGAAAUUCCUUGUCGGGUAAGUUCCGACCUGCACGAAUGGCGUAAUGAUGGCCAGGCUGUCUCCACCCGAGACUCAGUGAAAUUGAACUCGCUGUGAAGAUGCAGUGUACCCGCGGCAAGACGGAAAGACCCCGUGAACCUUUACUAUAGCUUGACACUGAACAUUGAGCCUUGAUGUGUAGGAUAGGUGGGAGGCUUUGAAGUGUGGACGCCAGUCUGCAUGGAGCCGACCUUGAAAUACCACCCUUUAAUGUUUGAUGUUCUAACGUUGACCCGUAAUCCGGGUUGCGGACAGUGUCUGGUGGGUAGUUUGACUGGGGCGGUCUCCUCCUAAAGAGUAACGGAGGAGCACGAAGGUUGGCUAAUCCUGGUCGGACAUCAGGAGGUUAGUGCAAUGGCAUAAGCCAGCUUGACUGCGAGCGUGACGGCGCGAGCAGGUGCGAAAGCAGGUCAUAGUGAUCCGGUGGUUCUGAAUGGAAGGGCCAUCGCUCAACGGAUAAAAGGUACUCCGGGGAUAACAGGCUGAUACCGCCCAAGAGUUCAUAUCGACGGCGGUGUUUGGCACCUCGAUGUCGGCUCAUCACAUCCUGGGGCUGAAGUAGGUCCCAAGGGUAUGGCUGUUCGCCAUUUAAAGUGGUACGCGAGCUGGGUUUAGAACGUCGUGAGACAGUUCGGUCCCUAUCUGCCGUGGGCGCUGGAGAACUGAGGGGGGCUGCUCCUAGUACGAGAGGACCGGAGUGGACGCAUCACUGGUGUUCGGGUUGUCAUGCCAAUGGCACUGCCCGGUAGCUAAAUGCGGAAGAGAUAAGUGCUGAAAGCAUCUAAGCACGAAACUUGCCCCGAGAUGAGUUCUCCCUGACUCCUUGAGAGUCCUGAAGGAACGUUGAAGACGACGACGUUGAUAGGCCGGAUGUGUAAGCGCAGCGAUGCGUUGAGCUAACCGGUACUAAUGAACCGUGAGGCUUAACCUU